UUCCUGAUGGUCCAGUGGUUUGACUCUAUGCUUUCACUGGGGAGGUUCCAGGUUCAAUCCCUGGUUAGGGAA
rfam:TPA: Bos taurus chromosome 21, whole genome shotgun sequence.